rnacentral:rRNA from 1 species
ACGAGGCACUACGGUGCUGAAGUAACAAAUGCCCUGCUUCCAGGAAAAGCCUCUAAGCAUCAGGUAACAUCAAAUCGUACCCCAAACCGACACAGGUGGUCAGGUAGAGAAUACCAAGGCGCUUGAGAGAACUCGGGUGAAGGAACUAGGCAAAAUGGUGCCGUAACUUCGGGAGAAGGCACGCUGGUGUGUAGGUGAAGCCCCUGCGGGUGGAGCUGAGACCAGUCGAAGAUACCAGCUGGCUGCAACUGUUUAUUAAAAACACAGCACUGUGCAAACACGAAAGUGGACGUAUACGGUGUGACGCCUGCCCGGUGCCGGAAGGUUAAUUGAUGGGGUUAUCCGUAAGGAGAAGCUCUUGAUCGAAGCCCCGGUAAACGGCGGCCGUAACUAUAACGGUCCUAAGGUAGCGAAAUUCCUUGUCGGGUAAGUUCCGACCUGCACGAAUGGCGUAAUGAUGGCCAGGCUGUCUCCACCCGAGACUCAGUGAAAUUGAACUCGCUGUGAAGAUGCAGUGUACCCGCGGCAAGACGGAAAGACCCCGUGAACCUUUACUAUAGCUUGACACUGAACAUUGAGCCUUGAUGUGUAGGAUAGGUGGGAGGCUUUGAAGCGUGGACGCCAGUCUGCGUGGAGCCAACCUUGAAAUACCACCCUUUAAUGUUUGAUGUUCUAACGUUGGCCCCUUACCGGGGUUGCGGACAGUGUCUGGUGGGUAGUUUGACUGGGGCGGUCUCCUCCCAAAGCGUAACGGAGGAGCACGAAGGUUAGCUAAUCCUGGUCGGACAUCAGGAGGUUAGUGCAAUGGCAUAAGCUAGCUUGACUGCGAGCGUGACGGCGCGAGCAGGUGCGAAAGCAGGUCAUAGUGAUCCGGUGGUUCUGAAUGGAAGGGCCAUCGCUCAACGGAUAAAAGGUACUCCGGGGAUAACAGGCUGAUACCGCCCAAGAGUUCAUAUCGACGGCGGUGUUUGGCACCUCGAUGUCGGCUCAUCACAUCCUGGGGCUGAAGUAGGUCCCAAGGGUAUGGCUGUUCGCCAUUUAAAGUGGUACGCGAGCUGGGUUUAGAACGUCGUGAGACAGUUCGGUCCCUAUCUGCCGUGGGCGCUGGAGAAUUGAGGGGGGCUGCUCCUAGUACGAGAGGACCGGAGUGGACGCAUCACUGGUGUUCGGGUUGUCAUGCCAAUGGCACUGCCCGGUAGCUAAAUGCGGAAGAGAUAAGUGCUGAAAGCAUCUAAGCACGAAACUUGCCCCGAGAUGAGUUCUCCCUGAGACUUUAAGUCUCCUGAAGGAACGUUGAAGACGACGACGUUGAUAGGCCGGGUGUGUAAGCGCAGCGAUGCGUUGAGCUAACCGGUACUAAUGAACCGUGAGGCUUAACC